rnacentral:rRNA from 1 species
UGAGAAAUAUCUUUAUUUUUAGUAUAUUAAAGAACAAAAAUUUUAUUGUUAUAGUGUAUUAGUACUGUGAGGGAAAUAUGAAAUAUUUUGAAAAUUUAAAAUUAUUAAAAGUAGAUUUUAUUUAUUGUACCUUUUGUAUCAGGGUUGAUUUAAUAUAUAUAAUAUAUAUUUAUAUUCUCGAUUUCAGAAGAGCUAAUUUAAAAUUAUAUUUAUUGUGUCAUAACUAUAAUUAAUUUUAUUUUAGAGGAGAAACCUUAGUCGAUUCUGAAGGUAUCUAGUUUUUUAAGAAGUAAAUUUAAUUUAGCUUUAACUUUUAAAUUUUUUAUUAUUAAAUUAUUUAUUAGUUAAAAUUAAGAUUUUAGGGGAUAAGCUCUAAAAUAUUUAUUCUAAAAAUUUUGUUUAAUUUAAUUUUUAUAGGCUUUAAAUCAGCCAUUAUUAAAGAGUUCGUUGUAGUUCUAAUUAAAGAGAUUAUGAUUUUUUAUUGUUUUAGCAUAUUAUUAAAAUUUUAUUUUUAAUUUAUUAAAAUUUGUAAUAAUGAUUAAAUUAGUAUAUAAAAGUUGUGUAUCAUUUAUUUUUAUGAUAUAAUUAAAUAAGGAAUUCGGCAAAAAUUAACGCUCGCCUGUUUAGCAAAAACAUGGCCUCUUGUUUAUAUAUGAGGUCUGACCUGCCCGGUGAAUUAUUAUUUUAACGGCCGCAGUAUUUUGACUGUGCAAAGGUAGCAUAAUCAUUAGUCUUUUAAUAGGAGGCUGGUAUGAAGGGUUUGACGAGGUGUUAACUGUCUCAUUUAAUUUGAUAUUAAAAUUUAAUUUUUCAGUCAAAAAGCUGAAAUUGUAUUGGAAGACGAGAAGACCCUAUAGAGCUUUAUAAUUAAAGUUUUAAUUUAUUUUUGUUUAUUAUUAUUUAUUAUUAUUUUAAUUAUUUUGUUGGGGUGACAAAAAUAUAUAUAUAACUUUUUUAUUUCUUUAACAUUGAUUAAUGAUUUUUAGAUCCAAUUGUAUUGAUUGAUAGAACAAGUUACCUUAGGGAUAACAGCGUAAUCUUCCUUGAGAGUUCUUAUAUACAGGAAGGCUUGCGACCUCGAUGUUGGAUUAAGAUAAUAAUUAGGUGUAGCCGCUUAAUAUAUAGGUCUGUUCGACCUUUAAAUUCUUACAUGAUCUGAGUUCAAACCGGUUUAAGCCAGGUUGGUUUCUAUCUCCAGUUUAUAAAUAAUCUUUAGUACGAGAGGACCAGGAUUAUAAAAAAUUUUUUUUUGAAUUGAAUUAUAUUAAUAAUUAAAACUAUUUUGGCAGAAAAGUGCCAUGGAUUUAGAAUCCAU